CGAAGGAUCCAAGCGUUAUCCGGAUUUAUUGGGUUUAAAGGGUGCGUAGGCGGGCUAUUAAGUCAGUGGUGAAAUCCUGCAGCUUAACUGUAGAAUUGCCAUUGAUACUGAUGGUCUUGAGUACACUUGAGGUGGGCGGAAUGUGUCAUGUAGCGGUGAAAUGCUUAGAUAUGACACAGAACACCGAUUGCGAAGGCAGCUCACUAAAUUGUAACUGACGCUGAGGCACGAAAGCGUGGGGAUCAAACAGGAUUAGAUACCCUGGUAGCCCACGCCCUAAACGAUGAUUACUCGAUGUGUGCAAUAUACCGUACGCGUCUGAGCGAAAGCAUUAAGUAAUCCACCUGGGGAGUACGACCGCAAGGUUG
rnacentral:rRNA from 1 species